rnacentral:rRNA from 1 species
AUUGAACGCUGGCGGCAGGCCUAACACAUGCAAGUCGAACGAGUGGCGGACGGGUGAGUAAUGUCUGGGAAACUGCCCGAUGGAGGGGGAUAACUACUGGAAACGGUAGCUAAUACCGCAUACCCUCGGAUGUGCCCAGAUGGGUUUAGCUUGUAGGUGGGGUAACGGCUCACCUAGGCGACGAUCCCUAGCUGGUCUGAGAGGAUGACCAGCUAAACUGGAACUGAGACACGGUCCCGACUCCUACGGGAGGCAGCAGUGGGGAAGAUUGCACAAUGGGCGCAAGCCUGAUGCAGCCAGGCCGCGUGGAUGAAGAAGGCCUUAGGGUUGUAAAGUACUUGCAGCGGGGAGGCGUUACCCGCAGAAGAAGCACCGGCGAACUCCGUGCCAGCAGCCGCGGUAAUAC